rnacentral:tRNA from 1 species
GGCCAGUUAGCUCAGCAGGUUAGAGCAUGGUGCUGAUAACACCAAGGUCGCAGGUUCUAUUCCCGUUGGGUCC